AGAUGAGCAAAUGUAUAAGCUUUCAUACAGUGUGUGAGAUGUGAAAAAGUUAUCUAUUUUUAUGAGCUUGACAAUAAGUUGAAAUUUUAAUUAAAGAAGGAAGAAUGAUGCAGAAAGGAGGAGUAACUUUGCUAACAGAACGAAGUGCACAUUACUCUGCAGAAAUAAUUUGCUUAUGAGGCAUGUUUGAAAAAAAAAAUGUUGCAAAAAUGUUAUUAUUCAGGAAAGUUUCGCUGAGAGUGAGGUUCUCUUUUUCAGGAACACCUCAUCAACACUUACACACUGAUACACAUUCAUAUGACACCUGGGAGCUGCCCAGUACAACCAGUCAGACCUGCAGUUGGGAGCUGAACGAGUCCAAUAUGCUCUUAUCUCCAGUGGUCAAGUUCAUGUAAUGCCUCUUUCUUAACACAUGAUGGCACUGUUAGCCACAUAAACAAGUAGACAGAAAAAAACAAAUGUUUGACUGUGCAGGUAGUUUCAAGAUGAGACUUCUGUGUGACUUAGAGAACCGAAAAUAUAGGUGGAGACAAAAAAGAAGUUUACAAGAAAAUAGGCUUUUGUCUAUCAACUCGCUGCAUUACACAGAAAAUGGCUCAUUGUUAUACACAGGGUCUCCUGCUAUUGGUUCUGUUAAUAGUCAUAUCAGAAUGCAGAGCUGUCUCACCAGAGGUUGAGAAUAUGGUAGCUUAUAAAGACGGAGACAAAGCUCUCCCUUGUUUUAAUCCUAAUGCAACGGAUUCAAAGAGCUGCUACAGAGUCAAAUGGACAAAGUAUGCCACAGAUGCCCGUCAGUGGGAAGUUAUCCUUGCCUGGCCUAAAAAAUCCCAGGAUAGUAAACGUGCAACAUGGGGGCCUGAUGGCGGACAGAUGUCUCUUCUUCUGACGAAAAUACAAAAAUCUGACGAAGGACUCUACAGCUGUGAAAUCUGUUACGGCUGGGACUGUACUGUGGUCAAAAACAUAUCUUUAAAAGUAAAAGACUGCAAAGUCCUUCAUGCAGUGAGGAUAUCACCCGGAAAACCCAUCAAAAUAAACUGCCCAGUGAACACGACAUUAGGACAAGAGAGACCCCAAAAUAUCUUCUGGGCAGUGCUAAAAGGAGGCAAGCCUCAAUCUGUCGACUCUGAAAGGGUUCACAUUAAUGACACGUCAUUGGCUAUCCUGUCUGACAGUACUAAUGACAGUGGUUGGUACAGAUGUAGUUACAUACAGGGACAAACCCAACGCUGCUUCGACAUCAAAAUUCUUGUCCAAGUUGAGGGCUUUGUUGAGGUCACAACAGUUCCAAUCAUUACAACAACAACUCAGAAAGCGCUGACAAAAAGUGAGACUGUACGAGCAGACAGGAAGGAAGAAAGCAGGGGCACAUUUAUUGCGCCUGUGGCUGCAGUCACCGUCGGAGCCGUCAUAAUUGCUGCACUCAUAGGAGUGUUCGUGUACCGCAGACAUAACACCCAGAGAAUCACACAGCAGAGCCAGAGGAAAGCAAGAGGUGCACUUGCGCAGUCUGUUGAUUCUUAUGAGAAUGUGACCCUCGGGCCUUCGUACGGUGAGCGUCGUGUUUCUUUCAUUACCUCUUUCCGUCAGGCCUCUGUGACCCCACCAACCUCACUGAUGGCUUUUUAACUUUAUUUCACAGAUCCCUCAAACCAAAGAGUCAACAGUCUGUACCAGCAUUUUGAGGGUGAAAGCAUGUUUACUUUCCAUUAUUAGCAAAUUUCAACCCGCUCAAGAAAAAGAAGAUUUUCCCAGUGAAAUUGAAGCAUUUGAUCUCUUACCUGGAUUGCCUGCUUACACUUAUGCAUUAUACAAAUAUCUACUAAGCUGUUAAGAGUAUGAAUUUGUCUUGAAAAGACAAGUAACAGCGUCCUUAUUAACCUAUUUGUACGAAUAGAUUUAAUCACCUGUAUUAUUCUAAAUGACAUGGAGACAUGUUUGCACUGUAAUCUUUCAAUAAAGUCUUUUAUCCAAUUUGAA